UAUGAGUGCAUAGGUUACUGCUUUAUUUAACAACUACAGUGUAACAUACUUUUCAAAGCACAUUUGCUUUUCCCAUUUAAAGUUAGAAGAAGGACCAGGGUCAGAUACAAAAGAAAACCCACUCUAUAAAGGAUAUAGAGAUAGGAACAGAGAAAAGCUUAUGGGGUACAGUGGAAUUUAAAUAGUAAGCCUGCAAAUACAUAAGUGAUGGAACAGAGGCAUAAGCCCUCCAUGUAGGUGCUGGAGGGGAACAAGAAAUACAUUUUAGAACUAAUAGUAGUCUUUUAAUAGCAGCUCUUAUUUCAAAUAUUUAUUAUAUUUCUAAGAUUUGAGCCCAUAUAGAGGAGCAGUUUUAAAAACUGAACUUUUAAGAGGUCUUGAGCUUAAAAAAAAAUCUUCCUCCCCAAAUAUCCUUCUCUUCCUCAAGAAAGCUUAAAAUGACAGACGGUGAAGUUAAAAGACACAAAGAAGUGUAGCCCCUUUGACAUGUUUUGUGCUGUAAUGAGUCAUCUGGUAUCAUGUUUUGGUAGUUGGGUUUAGCGGAUGGUUAGCCCCACUGGGCUUGCUGCUGAAGCCUUCAGAUUCUGUGGAGCUACUUAGCAUUCUGGUGAAGUUAAAACAGCACCCAAGGGAAUGAGUCUCUCAACUGGCCUCUCCCAUCUGUAUGACCUACAUGCUGACAUCAUGGCAGAUAUAAAGGCCUUAUGCUGGGCACAUAAUACUUCAUACAUACUUGGAACAUCAUCACAGAAUGAACUAUGAAUGGCCUACUUCCUCUCCUCUAAGGAGAUGAAGCACAAAGUUUGGGAAAAUGCUUUCUUUUUGUAUUUAUAUUAAAGAAUGGUUUAGAGCCAUCUA